UGAGGGUUGAGUAUGCCAAACAGAGUUUCAUAAGGAUCUCAGUAUCAGCACUACAGCAAAUGAAAUGGAGAGAAUCCACAUCUGAGACACAGCUUUUCUGCUGCAGUGCAGGUGACAAGGAAUGGGGAGUGAGGCUAUGAGGUGACCCUACCUCUUGCUGCCAAGCUGCUAGCAGUCUCACAAAUAACCAUUACAUUGAACUGGGCAACUUCAACUGGCAUCCCAACAUUUCCAGGUUCACAAAGAGUUGGGUGUGGUGGAAAUGAGCACUGCAAACUGAAAUUCAAGAAGCCAAGAUAAAUGUUCUCAUUAUAAGUGCCAAACUGUCCAAAGGUCAGAUCUUUGUAAGCAAGGUCUUACUAGGAAAAGGCACAUGUCUGGAAUAGAAGACCAUCUGCCUGUCUUGUGACCUUGAUGCUGUGUCUUAAUUAAAUAAGUCAUAUUAAAAGGAAGGAUAGGAACAACGUGGGUCCCAGCUGUCUGCUCUGAGGGAAGCUGGUCUGCCUGAGACCAACAGUGCGGCAGCCAUGAAAGACAACAGUGCAGAGCAGGCACAGCUUGCAAGUGGAAAAUCCGGAAACGCACACUGAAUUCUCAGCUAGAAAAAGCUCCCUCUGCAAUCAGCUGUUAGGAUAUCUGAAGAAAAACUGAAUAAAUUAAUAAGCCCUUGGUGUCCAUAGACUCAGACAAAAAGCCUCCUCUACCACUGAUGCAGCUGUUCUGGGAGGAAGUUUCACUGGAUACCCCCAAGAAAGCAAGUGUCACAUCAACCAACCACAUCAAGCAACCAGACAUGGAACAAGUUUUAAGGUCUCCCUCACUGAGCCUGUAAAUCUUAUUAUCUUCAGUAAGAAUAACAGUGCAUGCAGAGAACUCAUCACAAGCACAGCUAGGCAAACAGACAUAAAAUUGCUGGUUGUACGUCUGUGCAACAUGUUGUAGUGCUUGCGUCCACAUUGUUUGAAAUAAUGCAGAAAGAAGAGCAGGGGGAAAAAGAAAGAAUAAAAGAAAAAUAAAGAAUCCA
rnacentral:lncRNA from 1 species